rnacentral:rRNA from 1 species
UCAUGGGAGUGGAUGGUACCAGAAGCGGUUAGUUUAAUCUGGAUUUAUCCAGAGGGACGUCUGCCACGGUAUGAUUCAUGACUGGGACG